UUUAGUGAAAGACGUGCUGCUACGGUGAGUUAUUUUUAUGGCUCAACUUUCAUUUAAAAGUUUAAUUACUUUUCAUAUAAUUACUAGUUUAAUACAAGUACAUGUUCCUUCUUUUCAUUUCAAUUGCUUUGAAUAUUUCAAAGUCAUCUUUGAUGCUAGUGUGUCUUAUUUGCCAUGACUCUUCAGUUUCUGCUUAAAACUAGUGUGUCUUAUUUGCCAUGACUCUUCAGUUUCUGCUUAAAA
rnacentral:misc_RNA from 1 species